rnacentral:lncRNA from 1 species
UUUGGACACACCCGAUGGAUCUGUAGAUGCACCCGAUGGAACUACUAGAUGAAGUGUAUCAUAUGGAAUCUUGCUUCGGUCUAGUUGGAGAUAGUACUAGUUUCGGUGCAAGAUAGUUGCAUGGUUUGUGCCCAGUGCACCAUAGGCUCAGAAAUCGUUGUGGAAGUUCCAGAUGGUACUCCUAGGUGAAGAGGCUCAAGUGAUGAGGACAUCAACACCAGCGAUACAUAUCCUACAUCCACCAGCGAUACAUAUCCUACAUCCACCAGCGAUACAUAUCCUACAUCCUCUCCGACACAACCUAUAGCUGGUCCUCUUACUCGUGCUCGUGCCCGUCAACUCAACCUUCAAGUAAGUUCAGCUUUAAACUCUUGUCAAUCAUAUUUAGACAAUGGAGACACGUGCACUUUGGUGUUGCUUAGGAAUAAUGGACAAGAUCAGCA